CACCGCAUGGGGGCUGAAGGAGCCCAGCACCUUCCAGCUCACACGACUUGUUUGUCCAGAAGGAAGUAUUGCAUUCUUCACGCUUCAAAAUUUUCUGUAUGUUUUGAUUUUUGACAUCUUAAAAAUACUGGGAAGAGAUUGCUUUCCCAGGGCCAGCCAAUUCUGAGAGGCAGCAAAGGACUGGGCCAAGAGCUCCCCUUUCAUAAGCAAACUAACCGAUCUGGAGUCCGUCCUCCCAAUGACUCCCUCCAUCUGCCAUGUGCACACCCAACCUAUACAUUCGCUGUCCUAAAUCAUCCAAGAGCCAGAAACCUGGAUAAAGGCUCUGGCUUAGCUCUUCCCUUGCUCCUGCUUCUGCUCCCGGCCAGACCCUGGUGCUUCCCCUGUGGCCCUACCUGGCAUGACAUGCCCCCUCCUCUUGGGAAAUGUCAGUUACAGAUUCUUCUUUCAGUGGCAUUGACCUCUCUGUAGUUGUGGACUGAUGCCUACAUUUCACGUGUGUAGAGAGACUCCCAGAGAGUGACAAGGGAAACGUGACCACGGACUGCACUGGGCUAUGGGAUGCUUGAGUUCCAACCAAUCCACAUACAGAAACCUCACUGAACAACCAGAUGAUCCAGAAGAGACCCAAGACUUACUGUCACUUAAGAGGAGAACCAGUCCAGUUUCAGCAAAUUGUCUGCUCCAGACUCACACACACACUGCGUUCUAUCCACAGCUUCACUUCACCAAGCCAUAGGUAUUUCACAGUCAAAAGAGUGGUCUAUUUUUUUUUUUUAAUUUGGCACCAAAUUGUAUGUGGAAUGUCGAUGUUUAAAAUAGAUGAGAGCAGAGCUGCUCAGCCGAAUCAGGGUCCCGCCCUCGGCAGCAAGUCCUGAGACGCCUUGAGCCUCUGCAGGAGAGACUCUGAGCCCAGUGGUCAGUUAACCCCGCACGCCUGUUACUCACAGCACUGCCUACGCCAAAUCCAGCCAAACGCUGUGCUCAGCACUUUUCCAAAAUUACUGAUACAGAAGAGCAAGAUUAAAAACAUGAUGCUCUUCUUUUCUAAAUUCUCACAGAAAGGUCAAUAUUUACAUGAUAUUUCUGGUGCUUAUAGAUUGUAUGUCUCCAUUUUUGAAAUUAGUAACAACAUAGCUGAAGAAUCAGAACCAGAGCUCUGGCUUACUUGUGAGUUUGCUAGGAGCAUUUUCACACACACACACAUACAAAAAUCCCUUAGCUAAUACAUGCCAUUAAAAUAGUAUUUGAGUUAUUUCAAGUUCAGGCAUUGGCCUCAAAAGUAUUUUGUGUUUCAAACAGAACAAAAAUUGUCAGUCUGAAAAUAUUUAAAAAUCUAAAAAUAUCUGUCUAUACUUGCACCAGGUAAAUAGAACAUAUUUAAAAAUAGCUUUCAAAUAACAACUUCUGUUUCAACUGGAUCAGUGUCAAGAGGUUUCCUUCACCAGCUGUUCCAGAUGUAGCCCCAUUUUCUGCUCUGCUCUGAUCCGCUAGCAGGCUCUGUGAAAUUGGAUAGAACCUGCAGACUUUGCACCUCUCUCUUUAUCUGUCUUGUAUCAGCUGGUAGACAACACUCCUACCAGCAAAUCUGCUGUGGUUCCAAAAAAUAAAAACAAAAAAUGUAUUCAACUGGUCAUGUUUUUCUCCUAGCAGGACACACAGCAUAAGAACUUCCAUGGGAAAUCCAUGUAGGAAAUCGUUUAACAUUUUUUGUUAGAUUAAGUGUAUCCUCAUGGGAAGAUACAGUUUCCUUCCACUUCUGUUGCAAAAUCUAAGCUUUGGGAGAAAGAAUAUCUAUUGCCUGUGUAUUAAUUUUUAUUUUAGAUGGAAAUUUAGAUUCUAGCAAUGUGAAAAUUCAAUUAUAAUCGCAUUCUAAAGAUCCCAGACUGAAAUGAUGUGAUGGGCAAUGGCUGCUUCUUUCGCUACCAAUUCCUUGGAAUAGAAUUUUAUAAAUAUUUCUUUGCUAAUUGCCUGGAAGGCCAAGGAUGAGCAAGAAUAGAUAUUUGGUUGGUGAAAGUGGUGCCAAGUGUU